rnacentral:tRNA from 1 species
UAAUAAGAAAUAAAAUAUUAUAGUUAGUUUCGACCUAAAAUUUUGAUGUCCUCAUCCUUAUUUU